CUAGGUUUUACCGAACCAAAAUACUCACCUACUAUUAUCGCGGUCUUCUUCGCAAAAUCUCUCACAUACUCUCCCGCAUUCGCGACUCCAACAACUAUGGCAGCUUCAAAGUUUUUGAUCUUAAGAAAAAUCUUAACAGAAUAUCAGCUGUUUUAAAAGAAUUGGAGACAACAUUUAGCAGUCUACGGGAAGAAGACUCUAAGUUACAAAGGGAGGCUAGCCUUCCAUUGAAAAUUGCAAUCGCUAUGGUAACACUAUUGUUUGUGAUAAACGGCGUGUUGAUUGUCUUAAUUGCAUGCAGAAAACUAGGGUGCACUGUUUAUUAUUUUACUCUGAUUGCUGUGUUAGUUGAGAUUGUUGUAUCACUUAUCUGUGGUUGGUUUUGCUAAUGGGGAAAUUAACAAGGUGAAAAAAGGCGUAGAAGAGUUAACUAGGCUGAUAAAGUUUCUCCAACAAGAUAUCAGCUUGUUGAUGUUUGAUAUAUCUAUGCAACUACCAGUUAAGACUCAAAAGACUAAAGGUUUUAUGCGCAAAGAUGAGCAACUGAAGGUUGAAUUGGAACGACGGAGGGACAAGAGUAGGCGGAUAGUGGAUGAAGAUACGGUGAAGAAAUCGGAGAAGAUCUUGACAGACAUACAAAUCAUGGAGAGUAGCUUGACUCAAAUGCCGUCUAGUGAUGUGUAUACUAGAUGGUAUACAAAAUUACUCAUAUUCAUACCCUUUACUAUUAUUGUGGCUGGUGCCUUCUUGUCAGCUACCUCUUACCUGAUAUUCUGCAAGCAGAGUCACUCAGAUGAAUAGCGGAUGAAGACCAUGUUUGUGGUAGUUAGUACACCAUCUUUGUGUUAGUUUGUGGUAGUUAGUACACCAUCUUUGUGGUAGUUUGUGGUAGUUAGUACCUGUAGUGACUAGCUUUGUUGUAGUUAUCAAUUUUUUUCUUUCAAGUUGAUUUCAAAUAUGUAUCUUGUUUCAUGUAGUAAAAUGACUCUAAUUUGGUUGAAGUUACUUGUUUAUUGGCAGAGCUUCUUAAUUAUCUUAUUUCUGAGACAUUUACUUUUUUUUGGCUUAUUAAAUCAACUUUACACUUUACCCACAAUUCAGUUUGCAUUUCUAUAGUAAAAGCACUGUUUUGGGGUUCAAGAAAAAGCGUGAAGCCUGCUGAGAAGGUUCGGGGAAUUCACUUUAUAAGGUGCAAACUCAUAGGUAUUUUUUGGGUUCGUUUUGUGGUAGUUGAAAGUCGAAACCACUAAUAUUAUCAAAGCAAUCAAGAAUACAACGUAAGGAGAAACCGGUACUUAUGUAGUGUUCUUUUUGAAAGUUAUGGGCAAUUACAGUGAUAGGUUCUUGUGAUAUCACUUCAAAUGUGAUGAGAUUUUUCUUUUGUUUUAGGGGGGGCGCAGGGACUUCUGAAAAGAUAUCCAUUUAUGUGGUUUUUUCGAUCUCAAAGGUGUCGCUAGAUGAGUGGGAUUCGUGCAGUCUUGAUGCCACAGGUCGCCAUUAGUUUAAUCCCUUUCUCUCACACGGUUUUCUGUGGAGCUUAGAAGAGUGUGGCUCUGCUGUGGAGGUUAUCAACUAUCACCUUGACGACUUCUACUUGAAAGCUUUAAUGGAUAGUUUUUGCAGGGUAGAGAGCAGUACACUUGACAUUGUUUCUCGUUUCACUCUUUGUCUCUCUGUUUGUUUUUACUGGUAUUUAUUUAUCUUAAAAAGCUGUUUCUGCCUGCCUUGCCUAUGUCAAUAGUACCAAUUGUAGCAACAAUUCUGUAUUUUGCUUAUUUGUUCUCUUUUGUUAUUAGCCGUUAAUCAGUUACAUUCUUUCCAUAUCUUAUAAAAAACUGUUGGAAUAGCUGCGAUACUAACUCUCAUUCAGUCAUCUCUUGAAAGUAACUGGGCAGCUAUCUAAUUAAGUGUCUUUUCUAUCUUCAUGAUCAUCAAUUUAUUGCUGCCUCUGUCAUUGUUAUGACCUCUUUCUGAUGGAAGAAAAGCUUGUGUCCUCUCUCAGGGAACUGGCUGGACGCCACACAACAUCAUUGCUAAGGAUGAAAAUAAUAAUAUUUUAGGUGUUGUUCCCCUCUAUCUCAAAAGCCAUUCUUAUGGUGAAUACGCGUUCGGUCAAUCUUGGGCAAAUGCCUACUACAGUUAUGGUUGGAGCUAUUAUUCAAAGCUGCAAUGCUCGGUGCCUUUCACUCCAGUUACUGGCCCGAGGAUCUUGGUCCAUAACACGUCACAUAAAGAUCAAGUUUUUGACAUCCUGGUCUCUGCUAUGAAGGAUUUGGGAGUCAAGUUUAAUCGUUUCAUCUCUACAUAUUACUUUUCCAACUGCAAAUGACUGGCACAAGCUGGAGGAGAAAGGUAUCCUGUCAAGGAUUGGAAUGGCUGAAACAGUACUUAGAGAGCCUUGUACUUAUUGUUUGUGAUCCUUGUAUUAAUCAACUGCUGCAAGUUGGAUGUUGUAGACCACCGUGCUUCGAUUUUCAAUUCUUCCUCUUUCUCUCCAAGUUUGUUUCUAUAUAUGAAGGGCUUUCUACAAACUUAGUUUAUCACCAAUAUACUAUUUAACCUUGAUGCCACUGCUCCUUUUUAAAUUAUAAUUGAGCAAUUAUGUUGACAUCUGCAAAAAGCACCCCAAGAUCCGGAGGACAGUCAUCAGGUGAUGAUUGGAGAUCCGCAUUCGAUACUCCGCCCAAAAUGGCGAUGCAGGGUCUAGAAGUCGACGUACACCUAGCCGGCUGCCACCUAUACCUCCUGGUUCUGGAUAUGGACCGUAGGCAUUUGAUUCAUAUUCUUGACAGCUGAGGAGGUUUUGGUUCCAGCUGUCUUCUUGGACUCUUGUUGUGCUCGGAUUUUGCGAGAUCUUUGUAUACAUAGCUUUCACAUUUUUAGGUAAAUUUUAGCUAUUGGUCCAGCGGCCUCUCUUCCCAACAAAGAAAGUUCUCCAGUUGCUGCUUGAUCCUAACUACAUAUAUGUUUCAAAGUUGGGAAUUUCAGUAUAAUUUUCAUGUAUAAUCCUGUUGGGUGGGUGGGUAUCUCUAGUGUUGGCUGAGCUUUAGCUGGGCUUACAUUUUCAACAAGAUUGCUUAGGAAAGUUGGUGAAACAAUUCUGCUAUAGAUAAUACCUUGAUUUAUAAUCGAAUUUGAUUCUAUCAGAUUGCAGUUACAUCCUUAGGUUUGACCUUUAGCUUUAAACUUUCCACACCUUUAUCCAGCAAUGUUGAUCAAACUUCAGUAUAUACAUUUUGAAGUGAAACUUUUUUGUCCCAGUUCUAUAUUUGAUUCCUUAUAUUCUUCAGGAUAUAUUUUUCCACACCUUAAUCUUAUUGCAGGAGAUAUCUUGUAUGGACGACUAUGUGGACGUCUCCCAGUAGUCUACUAUGUCAAUUUGCAUUUUGAAGCAUGCUAUUACCAGGCAUUUUGAACCAUCAAUUAGCUAGUUGUGUAGUGUAGAAUGUCAGCUUGAUUACAAUAUUAUUUGCAGAAACUCGUAUGUUUCAAGAUUUAGCUUGCAGUAUUGUA